AGCGAACGUUUGCGACGGGCCUAACACAUGCAAGUCGAACGCACUAGCAAUAGUGAGUGGCGCACGGGUGCGUAACACGUGGGUAAUCAACCCUUCAGCCUGGGAUAACGACUCGAAAGGGUCGCUAAUACCGGAUACGGCGCGAGAGGCUUCGGCUUCUCACGAGAAAGCCACGCAAGGGGCACUGAAGGACGAGCCUGCGGCCCAUCAGCUAGUUGGUGAGGUAAGAGCUCACCAAGGCUAAGACGGGUAGCUGGUCUGAGAGGAUGAUCAGCCACACUGGAACUGAGACACGGUCCAGACUCCUACGGGAGGCAGCAGUGGGGAAUAUUGCGCAAUGGGCGAAAGCCUGACGCAGCCACGCCGCGUGAGCGAUGAAGGCCUUCGGGUCGUAAAGCUCUGUGGGGAGAGACGAAGAAAGCCUGUGAAGAGCAGGCCUUGACGGUAUCUCCUUAGCAAGCACCGGCUAACUCCGUG
rnacentral:rRNA from 1 species